ACUAAGACAUGCUAGUCGAGCGUCUUCAGGCUAUGUUGAGGACGCGGCGUACGGCUCAGUAACACGUGGCCAACCUACCCUUAGGACGGAGACAACCCCGGGAAACUGGGGCUAAUCCCCGAUAGGUGAGGACGCCUGGAAUGGUCUCUCACCCAAAGGACGUUGAAGCCAUGCUUUUCGGCGUUGCCUAAGGAUGGAGCCGCGGCCGAUCAGGUUGUUGGUGAGGUAAUGGCUCACCAAGCCUAUAACCGGUACGGGCCAUGAGAGUGGGAGCCCGGAGAUGGGCACUGAGACAAGGGCCCAGGCCCUACGGGGCGCAGCAGUUGCGAAACCUCCACAAUGCACGAAAGUGCGAUGGGGCUAACCCGAGUGCCGUCCGCUGAGGAGGGCUUUUCUCCGCUGUAAGGAGGCGGAGGAAUAAGGAGAGGGCAAGACUGGUGUCAGCCGCCGCGGUAAUACCAGCUCUCCGAGUGGUAGGGACGAUUAUUGGGCCUAAAGCGUUCGUAGCCGGCUUGGCAAGUCUCUCGUUAAAUCCAGUGACCUAAUCGCUGGGCUGCGGGAGAUACUGUCAGGCUUGGGAGCGGAAGAGGUCGACGGUAUUCUCGGGGUAGGGGUGAAUCCUGUAAUCCGGGAGGACCACAGUGGC
rnacentral:rRNA from 1 species